GAUGAAGAACGUAGCGAAAUGCGAUAAGUAAUGUGAAUUGCAGAAUUCAGUGAAUCAUCGAAUCUUUGAACGCACAUUGCGCCCGCCAGUAUUCUGGCGGGCAUGCCUGUCCGAGCGUCAUUUCAACCAUCAAGCCCCGGGCUUGUGUUGGGGACCUGCGUCCGACGCAGGCCCUGAAAACCAGUGGCGGGCUCGCUGUCCACACCGAGCGUAGUAACUAACCUCGCUAUGGAGUGGCGCGGGCGCCUGCCGUAAAACCCCCAAUUUCACAAGGUUGACCUCGGAUCAGGUAGGAAUACCCGCUGAACUUAAGCAUAUCAUAGCGGGGA
rnacentral:misc_RNA from 1 species